rnacentral:piRNA from 1 species
UAAAAUUUCUACUGCAAAAAUUGAUAAGGC